rnacentral:rRNA from 1 species
GACAGAGGGGGCAAGCGUUGCUCGGAAUCACUGGGCGUAAAGGGCGCGUAGGCGGGAUGGCAAGUCGGUCGUGAAAUCUCUCGGCUCAACCGAGAAACGUCGGCCGAUACUGCCGUUCUUGAGGGAUGCAGAGGAGACUGGAAUUCCCGGUGUAGCGGUGAAAUGUGUAGAGAUCGGGAGGAACACCCGUGGCGAAAGCGGCUCUCUGGGACGGUACUGACGCUGAGACGCGAAAGCGUGGGGAGCGAACAGG